rnacentral:tRNA from 1 species
GCUUAUGUGGUUCAAUUUAAGAAUAUGGCACUGAAAAUGCUAAGAUAAAUAAUAAUAAUUUCAUAAACA